rnacentral:tRNA from 1 species
GCCUAGUUAGCUUAGUUGGUAGUGCGUCUGCCUUGUAAGCGCUAGGCCGCGGGUUCGAUUCCUGCCCGGGACG